UCUACGUGUGGCAGCAGUGAGGAAUAUUGGUCAAUGGGCGGAAGCCUGAACCAGCCAAGUCGCGUGAGGGAUUAAGGCCCUGCGGGUCGUAAACCUCUUUUGCCGGGGAGCAGAGGUCCGGACGUGUCCGGGCCGGGAGAGUACCCGGAGAAAAAGCAUCGGCUAACUCCGUGCCAGCAGCCGCGGUAAUACGGAGGAUGCGAGCUUUAUCCGGUUUUAUUGGGUUUAAGGGGUGCGUAGGCGGGCAUUUAAGCCGGCGGUCAAAUGUCGGUGCGAAACCCCGGCCUGCCGUCGGAACUGGGUGCAUUGAGGGGGCGAGAAGGGUGCGGAAUGCGUGGUGUAGCGGUGAAAUGCAUAGAUAUCACGCAGAACCCCGAGUGCGAAGGCAGCAUACCGGCGCCCUACUGACGCUGAGGCACGAAAGUGCGGGUAUCGAACAGGAUUAGAUACCCGAGUAGUC
rnacentral:rRNA from 1 species